AUUGAACGCUGGCGGCAGGCCUAACACAUGCAAGUCGAGCGGAUGAAGGGAGCUUGCUCCUGAAUUCAGCGGCGGACGGGUGAGUAAUGCCUAGGAAUCUGCCUGGUAGUGGGGGAUAACGUCCGGAAACGGGCGCUAAUACCGCAUACGUCCUGAGGGAGAAAGUGGGGGAUCUUCGGACCUCACGCUAUCAGAUGAGCCUAGGUCGGAUUAGCUAGUUGGUGGGGUAAAGGCCUACCAAGGCGACGAUCCGUAACUGGUCUGAGAGGAUGAUCAGUCACACUGGAACUGAGACACGGUCCAGACUCCUACGGGAGGCAGCAGUGGGGAAUAUUGGACAAUGGGCGCAAGCCUGAUCCAGCCAUGCCGCGUGUGUGAAGAAGGUCUUCGGAUUGUAAAGCACUUUAAGUUGGGAGGAAGGGCAGUAAGUUAAUACCUUGCUGUUUUGACGUUACCAACAGAAUAAGCACCGGCUAACUUCGUG
rnacentral:rRNA from 1 species